rnacentral:sRNA from 1 species
CGGCGAAGUAAGGUGUGGUGUCAGAGAGCAGUGUCCUAUGAGCUUUAUAAGGGUUUUACAUUUACCACAAUAUGGCUGGACAGGGGACAAUCGAAAAAAA